rnacentral:rRNA from 1 species
UAGUCCACGCCCUAAACUAUGUUCACUCGAUAUUGGCGAUACACUGUCAGUGUCUAAGCGAAAGCGUUAAGUGAACCACCUGGGGAGUACGUUCGCAAGAAUGAAACUCAAAGGAAUUGACGGGGGUCCGCACGAGCGGUGGAGCAUGUGGUUUAAUUCGAUGAUACGCGAGGAACCUUACCUGGGCUCGAACGCAAUGGGACCGUCCCUGAAAGGGGACUUUUCUUCGGAACCGAUUGUGAGGUGCUGCAUGGUUGUCGUCAGCUCGUGCCGUGAGGUGUCAGGUUAAGUCCUAUAACGAGCGCAACCCCUAUUGAUAGUUGCCAUCAUUAAGUUGGGCACUUUAAAGAGACUGCCGGUGACAAACCGGAGGAAGGUAAGGAUGACGUCAAGUCAGCAUGCCCCUUAUGCUCCGGGCUACACACGUGCUACAAUGGCCGUGACAAAGAGUUGCUACUUUGUGAAAACAAGCUAAUCUCAUAAAACGCGGCCUCAGUUCGGAUUGCAGGCUGAAA